rnacentral:sRNA from 1 species
AGUGGCUGGUGCAGAAUACGCGCCUUGCAAAUAACCGACGUUUAAUCGCGUCGGUUAUUUUUUUGC